AACCUGUCGUCUUAUUUAAAACCCGGAGAUGGAGUGAGAAGCCAUCUCUCUCUCUCUCUCUCUCUCUCUCUUACAAAUUUGGAUUUCUUCAGGAAAACCAAAAAAAAAAAGAAAAAAAAAACUUUGAAAUCUCUCGUGAUGAAUUAAAAGUCUAUUCUUUUUCUUGGUGGGUAUUAGUAGUGAAUUCUCUGUUUCCAUCUUGGAUGGAUAUAUAGUGUAAACACAGAGCAAAGAUUCUUCUUCUUUGUAGAAGAAGCAAAUGAGAGAAGAGAGAGGAUCGUUUCUUCACGUAUUGGUCGUAUAGAAAGAUCUUAAUCAAUAGCGAUCGAUCUAGGCCAUUAAGUUCAAAGUUUUUGUUUCCUUUUUUCUUUGACGAUCUCAAUAGUUCCCAACGAAACAAGAUGAAGAGAUCACGUGGAAGCUCCGAUUCUUUGGCCGGUUUCUUACCAAUUCGCCAUUCUGCAACAGACAAACAAAUAAGUCCAAGACCAACAAACACCGGCUUUCUCUAUUCCGGCGCCGGAGACUACUCUCAGAUGUUCGACGCUUUAGACGACGACGGAAGUCUAGACGACAUGGGAGGCGUUGGACACGCGUCUUCCACGGCCGCGGAGAAAAAGCGGCGGUUGAGUGUAGAGCAAGUGAAAGCGUUAGAGAAGAAUUUUGAGAUUGAUAACAAGCUAGAGCCGGAGAGGAAAGUGAAGCUGGCUCAAGAACUUGGGUUGCAGCCGCGACAAGUCGCGAUCUGGUUUCAGAACCGCCGUGCUCGGUGGAAGACAAAGCAGCUUGAACGUGAUUACGGCGUUCUUAAGUCAAACUUUGAUGCACUCAAACGCAGCCGCGACUCGCUUCAACGCGAUAACGAUUCUCUCCUUGGACAGAUUAAAGAGCUCAGAGCAAAACUUAAGGUGGAUGGGGUCAAUGGUGUAGAAGAAGAGAACGGAGUUAUCAAAGCGGCGGAUGCAAAUCAGACGGUGGUGAUGGCUAAUAAUGAAGUCUUAGAGCUAAACCACCGUCCUCCGCCACCCCAUAUUCCUACGGAAGCUCCAGCUCCGACGUCGGAGCUCGCGUACGAAAUGUUUAGCAUUUUUCCACGGACCGAAAGCUUCAGAGAAGAUCCUGCCGAUAGCAGUGACUCGAGCGCGGUGUUGAACGAAGAGUAUAGUCCCACGACCGUUGAAGCGGCGGGUGCAGUGGCGGCAACGACGAUGGAUUGUUUCAGCCAGUUCGUGAAGAUGGAAGAGCAUGAAGAUCUGUUCAGUGGAGAGGAAGCUUGCAAGUUGUUUGCGGACAAUGAACAAUGGUAUUGCUCCGAUCAGUGGAAUUCGUAAAAUACGUGGGGGUAGAAUUGAAAACAUAAGAAAAUUGAGGGGUUAUGUAAAAAUAUUUCUGAAGGUCGGAAAAUGAAUUACCCAAAAUGUUGGGGUCUUCUUAGUUGUGAAAGUGGGGACAUGACGCGAGAAGGUAAAAAACCGAGAGAUCACGUGCGGUUCCAUGCACGUGCGGCCGUAAUCUUUUCGAUGUUGAAGAGACAUGACAAAAAAAAAAAAAAUCUCAAAUUAUCGGGAAUGAAUAAAAAUAAAAUGUGACGAAAUAAUAUUGUUCGUCAUUUAUAUUAUUA